rnacentral:snoRNA from 1 species
ACGUGAUGAGGACACUUACGGAUUAACUCCUUGAAUUGCUCCCAAGCCUCAUACAAAGACUCGUCAUUCAAUUGUUGGAAAGUUGUGAUCUUGUUCCUCAACUU